rnacentral:rRNA from 1 species
GACGAACGCUGGCGGCGUGCCUAACACAUGCAAGUCGAACGGAACUGUUUUGAAAGAUUUCUUCGGAAUGAAUUUGAUUUAGUUUAGUGGCGGACGGGUGAGUAACGCGUGGGUAACCUGCCUUCAAGAGGGGAAUAACAUUCUGAAAAGAAUGCUAAUACCGCAUGACAUAUCGGAACCACAUGGUUUUGAUAUCAAAGAUUUUAUCGCUUGAAGAUGGACUCGCGUCCGAUUAGUUAGUUGGUGAGGUAACGGCUCACCAAGACCGCGAUCGGUAGCCGGACUGAGAGGUUGAACGGCCACAUUGGGACUGAGACACGGCCCAGACUCCUACGGGAGGCAGCAGUGGGGGAUAUUGCGCAAUGGGGGCAACCCUGACGCAGCAACGCCGCGUGAAGGAUGAAGGUUUUCGGAUUGUAAACUUCUUUUAUUAAGGACGAAAAAUGACGGUACUUAAUGAAUAAGCGCCGGCUAACUACGUG